UACGAAGGACCCGAGCGUUAUCCGGAUUUAUUGGGUUUAAGGGUGCGUAGGCGGACUUAUAAGUCAGUGGUGAAAUCUCCCAGCUUAACUGGGAAACUGCCAUUGAAACUAUUUGUCUUGAGUACAUUUGAGGCGGGCGGAAUGUGUCAUGUAGAGGUGAAAUUCUUAGAUAUGACACAGAACACCAAUUGCGAAGGCAGCUCGCUAAACUGUAACUGACGCUGAGGCACGAAAGCGUGGGGAUCAAACAGG
rnacentral:rRNA from 1 species